ACAGGUAGUAGAGAGACACAACGCAGACGACACCUUGUUAUAAAACACAGUACGUUUUUUAUUAUCAGUCAAAAUUACAACAUCAGAUCAAGCGUUUUAACCCCGUCCUACUGGCGUUAAAACUCUCAAAGGAGAAAGUGUAGGAUACCUAGAAAAUAAAGACGCUCAGAAGGAGGAAGUGUAGGAUAUCUAGAAAAUAAAGACUCUCGGAAGGAGGAAGUGUAGGAUAUCUAGAAAAUAAAGACGCUCGGAAGGAGGAAGUGUAGGAUAUCUAGAAAAUAAAGACUCUCGGAAGGAGGAAGUGUAGGAUAUCUAGAAAAUAAAGACUCUCGGAAGGAGAAAGUGUAGGAUAUCUAGAAAAUAAAGACGCUCAGAAGGAGGAAGUGUAGGAUAUCUAGAAAAUAAAGACGCUCGGAAGGAGAAAGUGUAGGAUAUCUAGAAAAUAAAGACGCUCAGAUUUGAAAAUCAGAGGUUUUCCUAACAGCCUAAUCGAGGUGUUUUACAAGGCUACAUGUAAAUCCUUCUGCUGACCUUAACUAGUUGCUUAUCAACAGGGACGGCAGCGUAGCCUAGUGGUUAGUUUAGCGCGUUGGACUAGUAACCGAAAGGUUGCAAGAUCGAAUCCCCGAGCUGACAAGGUACAAAUCUGUCGUUCUGCCCCCUGAACAAGGCAGUUAACCCACUGUUCCCCGGUAGACCGUCAUUGUAAAUAAUAAGAAUUUGUUCUUAACUGACUUGCCUGGUUAAAGGUUAAACAAACAUUUAAAACAGAGAAUGACUAUCCAAACUAAGCGAGACCAGGAUUUAUCUUAACGCCGCUCCGUGCAGCCAUCGGAUAAACCCCAGGAGCCCCUCUGGACGGCUCUUAUUAACGCCGCUCCUCCGCUGUCAAAACGUCAGCUGAAAACCCCCAUCUGAUUGGAUCUACAGUAACUAGACCUUCCCUGAGCGAGACGCCGAACACAUUGACUUACCAACAUCCUGGUUACUAACGGGGAGGCUGGGGGAUUCAAUCCAAUUACAGGUGGUUACUAACGGGGAGGCUGGGGGAUUCAAUCCAAUUACGGCUGGUUACUAACGGGGAGGCUGGGGGAUUCAAUCCAAUUACGGGUGGUUACUAACGGGGAGGCUGGGGGAUUCAAUCCAAUUACAGGUGGUUACUAACGGGGAGGCUGGGGGAUUCAAUCCAAUUACAGGUGGUUACUAACGGGGAGGCUGGGGGAUUCAAUCCAAUUACAGGUGGUUACUAACGGGGAGGCUGGGGGAUUCAAUCCAAUUACAGGUGGUUACUAACGGGGAGGCUGGGGGAUUCAAUCAAAUUACAGGUGGUUACUAACGGGGAGGCUGGGGGAUUCAAUCCAAUUACAGGUGGUUACUAACGGGGAGGCUGGGGGAUUCAAUCCAAUUACAGGUGGUUACUAACGGGGAGGCUGGGGGAUUCAAUCCAAUUACAGGUGGUUACUAACGGGGAGGCUGGGGGAUUAAAUCCAAUUACGGGUGGUUACUAACGGGGAGGCUGGGGGAUUCAAUCCAAUUACGGGUGGUUACUAACGGGGAGGCUGGGGGAUUCAAUCCAAUUACGGGUGGUUACUAACGGGGAGGCUGGGGGAUUCAAUCCAAUUACGGCUUGUAGACAACAACAACAACAAAAAGCAAUGUUUGCAGUCAUGUAAAGGCUGUUAUCGGUCGACGGGGGAAAUGUAUAUUUUAACAACUGCAUCAACAGCUGUCCAGCUCGCUGCUCAACAGAGAGAAUCCUGGUCUGAAUGAAUGUCCCCAGGCCAGAUAGAUUAUUACAGAGGGGAUCAGCAGGUCCUACAUCAGUGUGAAUGACACCCCCUCUUCCACUCUCAACACAGGAGGGAGGGAGGGAGGAGGGAGGGAGGGCCACUCACAGGGGUCAGGGAGGGAG
rnacentral:lncRNA from 1 species